GAAAGCUGACUCAGAAGGAAGCUGACUUAGGCUGCCGGGAGAGCCUGGCCACCUUGGCCUACAAUCCCCAGCAGGAGGUCAAUGAGAGAGAGAGCCCUGAGCUCCUUUUGUUCCUGGGCAGGAGUCAGCAUUAUUUGGAUUUCUCAACUUUGGAAGUAGAAACCUGAAGCAGCCCCGAUCAAAAGGAUCUUUAGCUGUCAUUCCUGGGUCUUUGGGGAGUCUCAGAGCCCUGAGACUAAUGUCUUCAAGAGCUCUGACUCAGCAGAGCAGCAGCACUUCCAUCAGAUGCCAGUGAUGCAGCCUGUAAUGGGGCACUGGGGCCCGUUUCUGCAGCCUCCCUCAGCUGAGAAACUAGUGCUGACCCAGCCCUGAGCUGGCCAGACCAGCUUUCUGGCAGAGAUGUGCAAAUAGGGAGAUUCUGUUUCUGGCUCCUGGGAGGUGACCAUUCUCAGGUGAAGGGCCCCAGCAGGGCAUGCUGCAGAAGGGCCUUGAACGGUGGGGAAAAGAAGUUUUUUGUAAUUUCUGUAAAGGCCAUGCAUUCCUGAGAGAGUUAAGACUCCCAUCAUUUGGUAGACUCACCAUCAUCAGGCAGCUGGGGGCAAGAUAAAUCCCCAAAUUUGGCCCAGGCUAUGCCCCAGUAGAAACAGAACUGCUCCUGGCUUCCGGAUCCACAGUAUCCCUCUGUGACAGGCACUGAUGUGCUUUCCAUAAUAUUCUUCAUAGACAUCUCGCCACCCCAACAAUUGGGUGGAUAUGUUUCCUCAAACUGGGAGAGUCUUUCUGGUUCCUGAAUCUCUGCAGAAGGAGAUUCGGAUGGAGAGUCAAGAGUGUAAUAUCAAGGGGCACGUCCACUGAUUAUUAUAUGGGGCACUUCAUGAACCUGAAAGAAAUCCUGUGACCCCAGACCCUAAGUCCCAAGCUCCAAGUACUUGAGGGAAGAGUUUUCCACCCCCAUCCCCCGGCUAUCAAGGGUUCUCAAUAUAGAGGUGAGAUCAGACCAGGCUUAUGGGAAUUUGUUUGUCGUUUUAUAACCUUAUCAUGGCCCAUUCUGGGGUUGGGGGGUUGCAGAGUCAUUUCCAGGCUCUAAGCUGUUGUCUGUGGUUCUUAUGUUCUCUUUUGGUCAAUUCUUUUUUCUUGCUUUUUUUUGAAAGGCAAACAGCCUAACAGCAAUAACUAUCAACAGGAAGAUGGCAACACCCAGACACACACAGCUGCCUCUUCUCUCUGGAGUCAGUCAAGCAGUUCUCACUGUACCUUGAACUAGGUCACCUGCAGGUCUGAGCUGCUACCGGGCUGCUGAGGGAGGGCAUUUCUAGUCUGGCUCUCGGUGUGCUGUCCUGGGCAGUGGAGUGGGAAGGAGGCUGGGUUUCAGCUUAGCAUGGGAUUGCCCCUCCUCUUUUCUUCUGGGGAGGUAACCAUUUUCAGAUCUGUGGGUGGGGAGGAAAAUCUUCUUUUCCAAAAAUAAUCUCUCUCUGCAGUGGGGUUGGAAGCUGGACCAAGCUGCUAGCACUAUUUUUACCCAGCUUGCAGUUGAGGGUGUAAAUAGCAACUCUGGCUGUUUUUUUUCCCACAGCUGACAACAGAGUCAGCCUCUUGGAGGCAGAGGCUUUCUGGUGUUUUGCACAGAGAAAACAGGAAAAAGUUUGCCCUCGGGCCCAGGAGAUGAUUUCUGGACCAUCCGGGAAGUGUACAAAUGGAGGUGGCAUCUUUACACUUCUGUUAUCUUGGUCUCUGCUAUAAGCACCAGGCCCCAUGAUAGCUGCUGGGCUGAGGCUGGUUUAAAGAAGCACCCUGCAGAAUCAUGAGGGAAAAGGCAGGUCCACAUAUCUCUGCCUGUGCCCACUGAGCGUUCCAGGAGCCAGAGCAGCUGUAGGCUCCAGUUGGCUAUCCCCCUUGCCCUCUCUCUGGCAUUAGAGACACUUUCCCAAAGGUUGCUGCCCUGGGAGUGUUUCUUAUUCCAAACCUACUAGAUUAGGAGCUGAGGAAUGACAGAGAAAACAUCUACUCAAGGCUUCCCAGAUGACAGAAUGUCUCUAAAAAUAUAUGCCUCCUAGUUCUCAAGGGAUUGGGGGCCUCCGGCCAUUGGUCUUGGAAAGAGUCAUUUAGAGGUCACAGUGAGAGGACAGGCUCCCUCCAUGCCCCCGUGUAAGCAGAAGCUGUGAAAAAGUAAGCAAAGUCUUGGAUCUUGUCUCUAAUUAGCAAGAGUGAGUGGGAAGUUCAGCCUCAUAAGGGCCCCUCACUGGUCCUGUCUAUGAGUGAGAUAAAUUAGCAAGGACUGAGACGUGCCCAGCUGGCAAUUCUCUAUCGCUUCUCUUCUGGGGAAUGAACAGGCUUCAAUUGCAUUUCCCUGAGGUCAAACUUCUUACCCAAAUCUGUCCCUGGGGUGUUUGGCCUGAAAUAGGAGAGGAGUUAUGAGUCAGCAGGAGAUGCGUGCUUCAUUAUGAAUUACACAGCAAAUCCUCCUGGAAUGGCCCAUACUCUUCCUCUCGGUGCUGAUCAAUCAAUCAGAGUAUUUCUAGAAUAUCUACCACAUGCUCAGAACUGGGCAUUGAGGCACAUGGUUCCAGUUUCAGGCUCUUCCUGCAAACGAUUUUGUUUGCGGGGUAAGAAAAAAGAUCGGAGGGCAGGUAGGCAGCUGAGUAAUCCCCCAUCUGCUUUAUUGGAAGCGGUUUCUGUGGAGCAUCCUUGGACUUGAUUCUGGGCAGCUGUUAAUUGCAAAACUCACUGCCAAUUAUCGAUAGCUAAAGUGACAUUGGAGAGCUUCUGAUGGUAAAAAUAGGGGCAGGUAAUAGAUGAGAAAAUAGCUUUACAUUUGAGAAGAGAGGAUAGAACAUACUGUCUCCAUCGCUAUGUUCUAUGUUUCCGUUGUUAGUGUGGGUUCUCUCCUAGGGUUGGCCAGCAAAGUCUAACUAGUGACCUCCAGCACCAGGGCAAAACUGUGUCUUAGCUAGAACAGGGGAGAUUCAUGCUGGGUUCGGGGCAUCUUGGUUCUCACUGGGCUCAGUCACGUUAAACAGCCAACACCAGUUUUCAGUAAAGCCCGUUGAAUUUUAAAUGUACUUUUGGCUAAUUUGAGGGAUUGUUAUUGUCCAGUUGAGCUGGUAGUUUAUGCACCAAACUCCAAGUCUACAAACUGUGUGUGUGUGUGUUUUGAGGAAGCUUCUUGAAGCUUAGAUGGUCAAUGUUUAUCUUAAAAACAAAACAAAGAAUUCUGAAAAAACAGAAGCAGGAAAAAGUGCCCUGGUGAUUAAAACCAAAAGCAUGUGACAGACAUAAUGCUGGUCUGACCAGUUGUUUUGAACAAUGCUAACAGCCCCAACCUUGACAUUGGGGAAAUUGAGAACAUGGUAACAGACUUCCUAUGCCUAGUAUUUCCCUGGAUUUCCUGGAAUCUGGCUUGAAGUGCCAUUUCCCCUGGUGCCACCAAGGAGUUAAACGUUGGUUCUGCUCUCCCCAUGACUAAUAAUGCACUGUGUGGCUCUGAGAUCAUCCUGAAGGAAACUGACAGUCAGCGUGGGAAGAGCGUGAGCUUUCAGUGCUCUUGAAAUGCCUUUGAUGGGCAUGGUGAGUGAGCAAAAGGAUCAUCGCCACCUAGAGCCCCUGAUUGUGUAAUUCUGUCAUGAAUUCUUGUUUCUCCCUUUGAAUUUUGUGUGUUUUAAA